GUGCACUUCCCUAUGUCCAGCUAAACAACCAGAUGAGGGUGGCGAUGGUCAGUUCUUGAGCUUCGAACGGGCAUAAAGCUAAACAACAAGAUGAGGGUGGCGAUGGUCAGUUCUUGAGCUUCGAACGGGCAUAAAGCUAAACAACAAGAUGAGGGCGGCGAUGGUCAGUUCUUG